GGGAGGUCUGAGGUCUUCUGCCAGCGUUCAUUUCUACUGCACCCCAGGUAAUCCACAGGACCCAAGAGAUGGUAGCUACUAAUAUACUCUUCCCAUGGUGCCUCUUAAUACCAUGUGGACUCCUACAAGGGAAAUAAGUAUCACAACUUUGGUUGAACGUGGUCUGGUCUCAGAUUUACCUGACGGCCACCACUCACAGCUCCCGAAGAGCCCAGAGAUU